GACGAACGCUGGCGGCGUGCUUAACACAUGCAAGUCGAACGGAAAGGCCCUGCUUUUGUGGGGUGCUCGAGUGGCGAACGGGUGAGUAACACGUGAGUAACCUGCCCUUUACUUUGGGAUAACUUCAGGAAACUGGGGCUAUUACCGGAUAGGAGCUCCUGCUGCAUGGUGGGGUUUGGAAAGUUUCGGCGGUUGGGGAUGGACUCGCGGCUUAUCAGCUUGUUGGUGGGGUAGUGGCUUACCAAGGCUUUGACGGGUAGCCGGCCUGAGAGGGUGACCGGCCACAUUGGGACUGAGAUACGACCCAGACUCCUACGGGAGGCAGCAGUGGGGAAUAUUGCACAAUGGGCGGAAGCCUGAUGCAGCAACGCCGCGUGCGGGAUGACGGCCUUCGGGUUGUAAACCGCUUUCGCCUGUGACGAAGCGUGAGUGACGGUAAUGGGUAAAGAAGCACCGGCUAACUACGUG
rnacentral:rRNA from 1 species